UACGAAGGUCCCAAGCGUUGCUCGGAAUCAUUGGGCGUAAAGCGGGUGCAGGUGGCUUUGUAAGUCAGGAGUGAAAGCCCAGGGCUCAACCCUGGAAGUGCUUUUGAAACUGCAAAGCUUGAGUGUGGGAGAGGAUGCUGGAAUUCCUGGUGUAGUGGUGAAAUACGUAGAGAUCAGGAGGAACCCCGGUGGCGAAGGCGGGUAUCUGGCCCAACACUGACACUUAGACCCGAAAGCGUGGGGAUCAAACAGG
rnacentral:rRNA from 1 species